ACUCCCGUAUAUUAUAUAUAGGAAUAUAAUCCUAUUCCUAAUAAUAUAAUGACAAUUAAGGAUAAGUAUAAAUCUAGAUUUAAAUUUAUCCUUUCCUUAAUUGAUUAGAUCGAUCAAAUCCUAAUUUGAUUCGACUUUAUUUUUAUAUUAAUUUGAUCUUAUCAAAUUAAUAAUACAACAUUUGCACAUAAGUCCUCUUAUAAUUUACUAACUAUUAGUAAGUCCUCUCUUAUAGCAUUUACACCUUAAUACCACUAAUUUGUAACAAUUACAAAUUAGUCCAAUUAUCAACAUAUUGACAAUUAGAUCCUCCGGCGAUUCAAUAAUCGCGAUCUAGCUAUCCGAUCAACUACAACCUCUUAUGUGUGUGACCCCAUAGGUUCUAUUCUAUCUGGUAGUGAGAUAUAUUUUGAUGACUAUCAACAAUAUCAUUAAAACUCCUUUCAAUGGAUCGAAACAAUUCCAACUCAGGCCAACGAGAAUUAUCGAUCAUCUAGAUAAUUCUCAUGAGUCUCACAAUCCACCAGUGACGCCUAGCAGCAUGUAGUGGCAUUCCAGUAGAAUAGAAUAAUGAACCUCUUGGUGCAGUUACCGUGUGAUACAAUCCUUCUAUCAUGAGUCCCGACUAGACGGAGGUUAUGGAAUAACUCGUCAAACCCCAUCGUCUGUCAUAUGUUAAAUUUAUUCGACUCGAGUUUCUAAUAUCGGAAAU
rnacentral:lncRNA from 1 species